CUACGGGCGGCAGCAGCCGAGAAUCUUCCGCAAUGGGCGAAAGCCUGACGGAGCGACGUCGCGUGACUGAUGAAGCACUUCGGUGUGUAAAAGUCUUUUAUGAGGGAAAAAGCUUCGGUUGAUAUUACCUCAUGAAUAAGGGGCUCCUAAACUCGUGCCAGCAGGAGCGGUAAUACGAGUGCCCCGAGUGUUGUCCGGAAUCACUGGGCGUAAAGUGUGUCUAGGCUGUUGUGUUAGUCUUUUCGUUAAAUCCUCGCGCCUAACGCGAGAACCGCGGGAGAAACGGCACAACUUGAGGGAGUGAGAGGUGUACGGAACUCACAGUGUAGGGGUGAAAUCCGUUGAUAUUGUGAGGAACACCAAAAGCGAAGGCAGUACACUGGCACUCUCCUGACGCUCAAACACGAAAGCGUAGGUAGCGAACGGGAUUAGAUACCCCGGUAGUC
rnacentral:rRNA from 1 species